AGACCACAAAAAUAUUUAUAAAAUAUUUGGAUAAAUAUUUAUAGAAUAUUCUAAUAAAUAUUAUAAAUAUUUUGUAAAUAUUUUAUAAAUAUUGUAUGCUGUCUGGGAAAUGUCUUUCUUAAUACUGUUGGAUUUGUUUGUUUUUAUUUGGAUUUAUUUGUAUUGUCAAUAUUAAAAAAUGUAAUUAAUGGAAUUACCCCGAAGAAGAAAUGAUAGUAAUAAUUUGCAAAACAAUAAAAUUAUAUUAUUACAUCGCUACGUUUAUGUUAAUUUUAUUAAAUCGUUUGUUUAUUUGUAAAUAAAUAAUUUUUAAUAUUAGUAAAGUUUAACAACAUUCACAAAAUAUGUAUUAAAUAUUUAAAAUAUUUCUUUAAUCUUCAUGAAUUUUAAAGCAGUACGCCUGUUUCAAUUUAUUUAUUAUUAUUUUCUUCUAUUUUUAUAGUAAUUUCUUCCUUUUCUCUCUAAAUUCUCUUAUAAUUUUUUUAGAAAAAUUAUAAGAUUUUUAGAAAAAAAUUUUGAUGCAGUUUAAUUAAUGUAUAACGAGAUUGAAUAAGUAAUUGAUAUAGAUGUUAUUUUAUCGACAAAUUCAAUCUCAAUCAUAAAAAUAUUUUUAUCCAUUGCCGUAGAGAUUUAUCAUAUGAACCAAAUAAAUGUAGUGACAGUUAACCUUCUGAAAAAAUAUUAUUAAUUACACGAAGAAAACGUUAAAACUGUUUUAUUGUGAUAUUGAUACUUUUGAUAUUGUAUACAAUAUCAAAUUCAAAAAAAUUGUUAAAUUUUUAAUAGUUUUUCGCAAGUUUAAUAAUAUUUUUUAUAAGAAAAUAAAUAUUGAUAUCGAUACAUAGUAUAUAUAUAUUAAAAUUUUUAAUAAAAACAUUUUGAAUUGUUUUUAUAACAAAUUUAUUAUGAAUGAACAAAAUUGGUUUCUUAAUGAAACUUUUAUGGCAUAUUCGUUUAAUAAUUUAUUGAACAAAGAUGUUAUUGUCAAAUGCACUUGAAAGCACCUUUAUCACUACCAUAUCCCUGAGCGCACGAAAUUCUAGCCCUGUCAUUCGUAAUCUUUAAACUCUUAUUUGAAAAUUAUUACAACUUCGACAUUUUUGUAUUAAAAUUUUCUUCUCAACUUGUUACAAAAAAUUUAUUAUUAAAAAAUCUCGCGCCAGUUUAGAUACACUCUAUAUGUCACUAAAGCGCUGCCUCUUUUCCUUUACUCAGUAAUAGUUUUCAUAGGCAAUGUGCGAUUCAGUAGUAUAUGGUCUAAGGCUGUAAUUUACACACACACACGCACGCACGCACGCAACUACAGAUAUGAUCCGUGUUACGACGUGUACUAAUCAAUGGACCAAAAAUGACUGACCAUGCGAAGACCUUACUAACGCUCUUCAUCAAUGGAUCUUGCCAGCAACAAAUGACGCGAAAUAUUGAUAGAAGUCAAAAUACGCAUUAAACGGAUUAUCACGUUACGAGUGCAUUUUCCUGCUAAUAUUCAUAAAGUUUUACAGUUUUAUGAUGACAGAAGCAUAGAAUAUUGUCGAAUGUUCGGAAGCACUGUUAUCACCUUUGAAGAAAAACAAACGAAGAAAAAUAAACGAUAAGUAAUAACAAAUAAAUAUUGCCUGCUUUCUUUUUAUGAGACACACAUCACAUAGGUUGUCAUACUCUAAUAUAAUUUGCCAUAGUUAAAUGGAAUAUGAUAUACAGUAUGUGUAUAAUACUUAAUCUGACAAGAGAUAGGAUAUUUCCCAAACACAGUUGAUAUAUAAAUAAUACAGUGUCGUUGUAUAUGCUUUCAUAUUACCACACAAUGGUUGCGUUCAACCGAGUAGUGGUGGAAACUGUUGUAAGGUUUUCUACUGAACGCUACGUAGCGGCUCAUACUUUUAUGUUUGCUAAACAGUCACCAUUUUUUUCAUCAUACUAAAAAUAUGCUCUUUUUAGAACAAUAUCACUGUUUACAGGUUAUGAAUGUGCAUUAUGGUCGGUGCCUUGACGAUGGCAUCGUUUUAUGAUAAAAGUGCGUUCAAAAGAAAUUGCAAACUGUUGGGAGCGCAGUAUAAAGUGCUCACUGAGCAUUUUUUUUCCGCUGAACGCAGCCAUUGGACACGUUCGGUAAAUAAAGCGGAUCAGAGAGUGUUCAGUGAUUCUUCACUAUGAUAUUGGUUUCUGCUUCUAAAUCCAACGAAGAACUAAAGGCAAGAACGAAUCAUAUUAGAAAAUCACGAAGCGCUCACUGAUCCGCUCCGUCUGCUGAACGCGCCCAAUAUAACAAAUUUCAACAGAGCUACUGAGGUUACUUUUCAGCAACAUAUACAGACGACACCGUGUAACACAUGACUAAAAUGCUGUGUACAAUUAUGUCAACUUCUGUCAUAAUCAGAAACAGUUGGAAAGCACUGUGUCGUACACUGUGUUACACAAGCUGCUUUCCAUUUAUGUUAAACUGAGUCACUCAGUAAUGUGAGUAUUUAUACUCAGAUAGUGACGUUAUUUCUCAGUGAUUUAAAAAACAUGCAAGUGAUCACGCUUAUUUUGAUGACAAAGUUAUCGCAUACAUAACUUCACUUUUGAAGUGAGUAUGCAAAAUUCAGUAAAGCACACAGUCCAGAAAUUGCUCAAAUUGUAGGAAAAAAACUCAGUUAAAUCUCACUCGUCAAAAUAAAAAAAGAACGUGCAUUCAACUGAGUUAUGACAUCACAAGUCAGAAUUAUCUGAGUUUUGAUGUAAAUGGAAAGCAGCUACAGUGUCGCCUGUGUACGUUGCUGGAAAUUAUGCUAAGCAGCUGUGUCGAAAUGUAUCGUGUUAUGUAAUAGAAAAGCAACACUGUGUUACAUUGUGUCAAUUGUGUCGCUUGCCAAAAAGCACUCAUAGUACUUAUGAACCCGAGCAUGCCAUGUGUAUGGCAUAAAAUGUUACGCUCUCCCCACUCUGCCCUGCUUAUACGCGCUCCGAGAGGCAUCUUUUGCUGCGAAGAGUAUAAUAUAUUAUAAAACAAUAUAUAAGAGCAAUUUAUGAGUCUAUAUGUUAAUAUUGUAAUAUUGUAUAUUGUAAUAUUAUUUAAACAAAAUUUUGUCAGUGGCUAUACUUCCAAAAACGUCCAUGCUCCAAUUUGUUUAAUUCAAAUUUUUAAAUGUUUUUUUAUCUAAAAGAAACCUAUUUUUUAAAUUAAAAUUAAAUCGAAACAUGGGCGUUUUCGGAAGUUUCACCAAAAUAGUAUUAUUUCAAAAUCAUAUUAAUACAUAUAAACAAUAAAUUAAAUUUUCCGCUUCUACAUGUAAAGCGUAAACAAUGAAAAAUUGAAAUAAUUAUAAAAGUUUAUGUAAAAAGCAUUACAUAAUUAAGAAUUUAUCCCAUUUCAUAAUCAUAUAAAUAUACGAUUGUUUGUGAAUUUAAUUUGCUUUUCAUUUAUCUUUUGAAAUAUAUAAAAAAAAAAUAACAAAAUGUUUAUAACACUGUUAUUAGUAUAAAAUAUUUUUAUACACAAAACUGAUUUAUUUUAUGUUAAUAAUAUAAAAACUUACGUUUAACCGGUUUACUGGCUAAUAAUUAUGUAUUUUACACAAUAGUUUAUUUGCAAGGAAUUUUUUGAGCUUUAUGCAAAUCCGUUGAAAAUUGGAAGAAAUAUUCAUAGUGCACAUAUAUGCGUCAUUACUAGUGAACUGGUUAAAAUUCGUAAUGACUAAUGUGCAGAACAUAUUAAUACACACUGAUUGAAUUUAACAAAAUGCACGAAAACAUUCAUUAAGGGUAGUUUUCAUGAAAUAUUUAAGGAAAUUUCAAGCUCUAUUCUCUCUCAACAUAAGUAUAGUUACAGAAUAAAGCCUUCGACACACGAUACGAUUUUUCAUGCUAGAUCGCAUACAAGGCGUCUUAUUAUCCUCAUUGGAUUACGAUUGGUGACAUAAUCAUUCGAGCCAAUCAGGACACGUAUUGAUAUGUCUCGUAUGCAAUCUAGCAUGAAAAAUCGUAUCGUGUACCGAAGGGUUAAUUUCCGAAUAUUAACGCCGUUCUAAUCUAAUUAUUAUUUUAAAAGUUACGGUUAUUAGAAAAAAUCCAAUAAAAUUUUGUGGUAAAUUUUGUUUUUCAACGCGUUUUUUUGUUUUUAAAUAAAAUACAUUUAUCAAACAACUUUUUAAAACUCUUUGCUUUAAAUUUUACGUUCGUCAUCUUGUAAAUUAUUGAUAUUUUUAUAGAGAUCGAUGAAAUACUUCAUAGCCGAGAAAAACGGCGUUUCCAACAAGGAAAAGCAUUUGUUUAUAAGGCUCCUGUGACGAUAACUAAUUCUAAGAUACUCCGUGGGCUGCUGCAAGCUGUUUUUUCCAAAAUCUGACGAGAAUGUUCCGAAGGUCUCCGCAACAGGAAGAGAAGGAGAAGGAUUAAAAGAAAAUAAUAGAAAAUAAAAUUUUGAAGAAAAAAAAGAGAGAAAUGGACAAUGUAUAUGUGUACACAACAAAUAGCAGAGAAAAGAACGAGAGGAAAAUAAUAAAGAGAAAGACUGGGAGAGAGUGUGUAGAAAAUGGACGUGAGAGAAUAGAAUAAGGAAUGCUAUAAAUUUUUUGUGUACGUUCUUAACUAUCCUAUGUACGUAGACUAAAUCUAUUUUUGGCAAUGUUGAUUAGGUAUACGACACGUUAAAUAUUACGAUUACCAUAGGUUGAUGCACUGGCCAUAGUAUUAUGCGCUACGUAAGGUCGCUUAAUACCCGUCUCUUGAACGUAGUUAUCUGUACAGUUCUGGAAAAACGGCGGAGACCCCGGCCUAUUACACUUUCGUUAUUUCACUACACAUGCGGAUCCGGAUUAGAGAAUAAAAAAAAAAACAAGUUAAAACCUACACAUAAUGUCCUGAAAAUACUGUAACCGAAAUGUACGCGUAAUUUUCAAUUAUUUAACUCCGUUGUUUUGUUCGAAUUUAAUGUAUGUACAGUCAUCAUAUUAAAUAAAAAAAACUCUAAAAAAAUUGUUCUUUUAAGAGAAAAUAUUAACAGGCAAAAUUAUCAAAGUUAUUAAUAUAAUAUUUGCGGGAAAAAGACUAUUGCUCACGAGUGCGAGGAAUGGACGCACGAAUUGAAGGCGAGUGCGUUCACUCACAUGAGUGAACAAUAAUCGAGCCGCACGAGUUGCACAUAUUAUUUUUUGUUACAUGUGCGUCGAAAGUGAUUCUUUUCGUGACCCUCUACCGGCCGCAAAGCCAAUUGUUCACAGAUAGUUUUCUCGCACAGAUUUCUUCACCAAUCGGUGAGUAAACAACAAUAAUCAAGCGCACGUCAUUUCGCAACACGAAUACAGCAAUUCUCAACGCUUUAUUGCUUUCGCAAACCUAAGCCUAGAUAACUUAUCAAUUCGUGUCGCACAAACAUCAAACAUCAUGUCAUCAUAUCAAAGCCGCAUUAAAUUUGAGCAUAGUAAAAGUAAAAAUGAAUACCAAAAUAAUCAUAACAUCUGAAACUCCCACAAGUGACAGCAAACUUACAUCUUCAGACAUCAUCCAAACAACGAAAGAAAGUACAGAGAAUAUUUUGCCACAGAAAUCAAAAGAUAAAUAUAAAUAUUUAAAUGUUUACAACAAGUUUAUAGACUAAAAAGCUGAAAACAAAAUUAAAUCACUCUCUGAAAAUGCAAUGCUGGGCAUUGCAUAUGACAUAUUUUACGAAAAUAUUACAAACUCACGUAUUAUCGACUUUUGUUGCUUUCCAUUUGUCUGAAAGUGAGACUGAGUCACUCAGUAAUGUGAGUAUUUUAUACUCAGAUAGUGACGUCAUACUCAGUGAUUUAAAGAAACAUGCAAAUGAUCACGCUUAUUUUAAUGACAAAAUUAUCUCAAUAUAUAAACUCACUUCUAAAGUGAGUAUGCGAGACUCAGUAAAGCACACGGUGAAAUUGCUCAGAUUGUAGGAAAAAACUCAGUUGAAUCUCACUUGUGAAAUUGCAAAAGGAACGUGCAUUUAACUGAUGAGUUAUGACGUCACAAGUGAGAAUUAUCCGAGUUUUGAUGUAAAUGGAAAACAGCAUUUAUAUUACAACAUUAACAUUCAUAAAUAUGAAAAAUUCAUUGCAUUUCUCAAAAAGCAAGCACAAGAAUUUUUAAACAAAAAGUCGAAAAUUUUAACGAUAGCUUUAGUAUUAUUAUUAUUCUUAAGCUGGGUAUACACUUAGCGAACAAACACCGAACGAACAGCGAACGCGAACGUUCGUUAUUGUUAUUCGGCAAAUGUAUACGCCAAAGCGAAUGCGAAUAGAAUGUUCGAUUCGCGUUCAGCUCGAUUCCCUCAUGAGGCGGUACAUCAAAGAGAGUUCAUGCGCGAAUGACAAUAACAAAAGUUCGCAUUCAUUGUUCGUUCGGUGUUCAUUCGCUAAGUGUAUACCCAGCUUUAUACUUAAUAUAUAGGAUGUUUCUUAAUGACUGUCCCAACUUUUUACUAUGGGAGAUGGAUUAUCUACUGCAACCUUAGUAUACACAUGUACGACAUAUGUCUGUGCACAGGCCGUACAUGUGUGUAUUAAGGUUGCGGUCGGUAAUCCCAUCUGUUAUAACAAAAAGUUAGGACAGCCAUUAAGAAAUGCCUUAUAUAUAUAGUUCAUAAAAAUAAAAAAUUAAUUUCCUAAAUAAUUUUUUAUUUAUUACUAAAAUAUUUUAUUUAUAAUUAUAUAGAAGUAGUUUUUUUCAUUUGCGGAGAGCUUCGUCCCCCACAGACCCCUCGCUCUCAAUUUUAAACCCUCCAUCUUUUGCUCCAAACCCCUUCUCGCCUCCAUUUUCUAUGCACUCAUAACAAAAAAUAGUAUGUGCAACUGGUAUGAAUCAGCUAUUUCUCGUACGGAUAAAUGUAUUCAGUAUUGAGAAAUAGCAGAUUUUCUUCACUUGUAACACAAUAUACUAUUUUUAUUACAAGUGUGUAAAAAGUGGUAAAGGCGAAAGAAAGGUACGAAGGAAAGAAAGGCAGGCGGGUUUAGGGUGAUUCUCUGCAAAUAAAAAAACUUUAUUUUUAAAUAGUUUUGUAACAAAUAAAAAAUUGUUUAAUAUUUAUCUUUGUAAAUAUGUAUGAUCAAGAGCUUUGUCAAGGAUUUUUAAAAUUGCUUCUGUCACCAAAACUUUUGAUUUUUUGCUUUGAAAUUCUUGUGAUUGUCUUUUAAGAAAUGCAAUAAAUUUAUCAUAAUUAUGAAUGUCAAUUAUUGUUGAUAUUUAGAGUGCUUCUUUAUAUCGAUGAUGUGACUGAUGUCUUUGUUGAGUAAAUUAACACGAAUUGAUAGGUUAGCUAAAAUUUGGUUUGCAAAAGCGACGAAGCGUCGCUAAUUCUGUAAAAGUUCGUAUACAUUACUAUAUGCGUACCGUGAGUGUAAUAAUGAAGGCAAGCAUGCAAAAAACGAGAGAAGUAUACGGAAAUGUAUUAAUUAGAGAUCCUAUAAUAAGAGUUGCGACAAUCCAAAUAAAAAAUGGCGGAUAAAAAGAGAUAAGCAAUGUUUGUUGCAUAAAUGCAUGCGUAGAAAGAACGGGAUACGUGACACAGGCCAAUAUAGCAAAAUAUAAUAAUAAAAGUUUGGAAAUAACCGGAUAUUCAACUCCUUUCUGCAAUAAUAAAUCUACAGAUGAAUAUAUAUUUAAAGUUUUUCCAAAAGAUCCGGUGCGUCGAGCCUAAUGGAUUAAGAACAUGAAAAUUAGACACCAACUGACAACAUACAUUUAUGUGAGGUGAGAUUAAGGCCGGUAUUCAUAGUCAAAUCUUAUUUCAAGAUCGUCUCAAGCAAUGUCUUAAGGGGAUGCUGGAGAUGGGUCUGUUUUACCAAUUAAACGCGAUUAUUGUUUUUCUAAAAAAUCUUUUUGUUGAUUACACAGAAUUAAAAAUCCUUCUCCAGAAUUAAAAUAUAGACACUAACGGAGUGCGCAGUACACAAGUUUAUAUGAAAAACGAAAAAAA